AAGUCGUAACAAGGUCUCCGUUGGUGAACCAGCGGAGGGAUCAUUACCGGGUCGGCGACUGCCCGAAACCACACCGUGCACCGGCCUCGUGCCCUUUUCUCGUCGACGCCGCGGGGGGUUUGCUCGCUGGGGGAGCUGCUGGUCCUUUGGGACCGGCCCGCCGAGGCGUCGUCCGUUUAGAAACACGCUGAGAAGAGAACUUCAGAGGGUGCAACAGCGACCUUCGGGCGCUAAGAAACCUAGUCACAACUCACAACAAUGGAUCUCUUGGCUCCG
rnacentral:misc_RNA from 1 species